UACGUAGGGGGCAAGCGUUGUCCGGAAUCAUUGGGCGUAAAGCGCGCGUAGGCGGCCCGGUAAGUCCGCUGUAAAAGUCAAAGGCUCAACCUUUGAAUGCCGGUGGAUACUGUCGGGCUAGAGUCCGGAAGAGGCGAGUGGAAUUCCUGGUGUAGCGGUGGAAUGCGCAGAUAUCAGGAGGAACACCAAUAGCGAAGGCAGCUCGCUGGGGCGGUACUGACGCUGAGGCGCGAAAGCUAGGGGAGCAAACGGG
rnacentral:rRNA from 1 species